rnacentral:lncRNA from 1 species
CCCAAAAGAGCGCCCCCCCAUGGAAGGAGAAAAAAGUCCAUUUUUUCUUGUCCCGUAAGGUGAAAAUUCACAUUGUUGAGUGUGACACCUGUACGCUUUGUCAUAUUGACACAAAAUUUGACAAUCACGUGUAUCUCAAUAAGAUCUACGAAAAAGUCAAUGGGUGCAUAUCUGUCAAAUGUACGGUUAGAGGGCUAUUUUGCAUUUUUUGCCGAUUCGCACACAUUGGAAUGUGGCUAACUCCACCUAAGGCUUUCGUCCCACUGAAACCAAAUUUGCUCAGGCCAAUCUACACGCCAUGGCCAUUCAAAGUUGUAAAAAUCAGGACGCUGCACCCCACGGUUUACGUUCUAGGGGGCGCCAAAGAUGACCAAAAAAUCCACAUUCUUAAAAGAAUCCACAUUCUCCCCCCCCAUGGCACGAGAAAAAGUCAAGUUUUUCCUGCCCAUCGCUCAAUGGCUCAAUCGCAUCACUCUCCAGGCAACACCGUAAGGAGGAGCAACCUGCCAUUUGGAUAUAUCCCAGCUGUGUUUGUGCCCUCACUCAUGGUCCAGACUUUUUUCAAAUAGGACAUGAAGUUUGUCUGCAGCGAGUGUUUUGGUAGAAACUGCGCCUCCCAUUCAUUAUAAUGGGAAAUGACCACAGACAAGUGCGCACACCAUCUUUGGACCUUGAGUGUGACGCGAUCGGGAGGGGGAGGCGGUCACGCUGGGGGCGGCACGACGCGGCUCGGGCCCGACAGUGCCCCAACGGGGCCCUAGUCUUUGUUAGGGCCCGAGCGUAGCUGCUAAGCAGCUGCGAGAGCCCUAUUAUUCCUGAUGGAUUCUUCUUUCUUCUUUAGGGCCCGAGCGUAGCUGCUAAGCAGCUGCGAGAGCCCUAUUAUUCCUGAUGGAUUCUUCUUUCUUUAGGGCCCGAGCGUAGCUGCUAAGCAGCUGCGAGAGCCCUCUUGUUCCUGCAUGUUUCCUUCUUUCGUUAUUAUUUUUCCUCCGCUUCAAACUGGAAAAUGCCCCACUUCCCACUGGCGAAAACUCAGGACAUUUGGCAGGACGACCGGGCCUGGUGAAAAAUUCGAUAUUCUGAAGUCGCCCAAACAAUAAAAUGCAAAAUGGCUCCAUAGCGCCCCCUAAGGUGAAAAUUCACAUGACGGCUGUACGCUUUGUCAUAUUGACACAAAAAUUGACACACACAUGUAUCUCAAUAAGAUCUACAAAAAAGUCAGUGCGGGCGUAUCUGUCAAAUGUACGGUUAAUGGGUUAUUUUGCAUUUUUUGCAGAUCUGCACACAUUGGAAUUUCGCUAACUCCUCCGAAGGCUUUCGUUUGACCGGCACCACAUUUGCGCAGGCCAAUCUACCCCCCAUGGCCAUUAAAAGUUGUACAAAUCAUGACGCUGCACCCCACGGUUUACGUUCUAGGGGGCGCCAAAGAUAACCCAAAAAUCCACAUUCUUAAAAGUCUUAUAACUUUUUACUUUUGUCCUCACUGGCCUCCAAGUUUUCUAGGAUGAUGCAAUGUCCAGCCAUCAACACAUUUGUGAAGGAAUUUUUACUCGCCAAAAGAGCGCCCCCCAUGGCAGGAGAAAAAAGUCAAUUUUUUCUUGUCCCCUAAGGCGAAUAUACACAUUGUUGAGUGUCACGCCUGUACGCUUUGUCAUAUUGACACAAAAAUUAACACACACAUGUAUCUCAAUAAGAUCUACGAAAAAGUCAAUGUGCGCGUAUCUGUAAAAUGUACAGUUAAAGGGCUAUUUCGCAUUUUUUGCCGAUUCGCACACAUUGGAAUGUGGCUAACUCCUCCUAAAGCUUUCGUCCCAUCGGCACCAAAUUUGCUCAGGCCAAUCUACACCCCAUGGCCAUUCAAAGUUGUACAAAUCAUGACGCUGCAUCCCACGGUUUACGUUCUAGGGGGCGCCAAAGAUGACCCAAAUAUCCACAUUUUUAAAAGUCUUAUAACUUUAUUUUUGUCCUCACUGGCCUCCAAGUUUUCUAGGAUGAUGCAAUGUCCAGCCAUCAACACAUUUGUGAAGGAAUUUUUACUCCCCAAAAGAGCGCCCCCCCAUGGCAGGAGAAAAAAGUCAAUUUUUUCUUGUCCCGUAAGGUGAAAAUUCACAUUGUUGAGUGUGACACCUGUACGCUUUGUCAUAUUGACACAAAAUUUGACAAUCACGUGUAUCUCAAUAAGAUCUACGAAAAAGUCAAUGGGUGCGUAUCUGUCAAAUGUACGGUUAGAGGGCUAUUUUGCAUUUUUUGCCGAUUCGCAUACAUUGGAAUGUGGCUAACUCCUCCUAAGGCUUUCGUUCCACCGGCACCACAUUUGCUCAGGCCAAUCUACACCCCAUGGCCAUUCAAAGUUGUAAAGCUCAGGACGCUGCACCCCACGGUUUAUGUUCUAGGGGGCGCCAAAGAUGACCAAAAAAUCCACAUUCUUAAAAGAAUCCACAUUCUCCCCCCCCAUGGCACGAGAAAAAGUCAAGUUUUUCCUGCCCAUCGCUCAAUGGCUCAAUCGCAUCGCUCUCCAGGCAACACCGUAAGGAGGAGCAACCUGCCAUUUUGAUAUAUUCCAGCUGUGUUUGUGCCCUCACUCAUGGUCCAGACUUUUUUCAAAAAGGACAUGAAGUUUGUCUGCAGCGAGUGUUUUGGUAGAAACUGCGCCUCCCAUUCAUUAUAAUGGGAAAUGACCACAGACAAGUGCGCACACCAUCUUUGGACCUUGAGUGUGACGCGAUCGGGAGGGGGAGGCGGUCACGCUGGGGGCGGCACGACGCGGCUCGGGCCCGACAGUGCCCCACCGGGGCCCUAGUCUUCUUCUUCUUCUUCUUAUUAGGGCCCGAGCGUAGCUGCUAAGCAGCUGCGAGAGCCCUCUUGUUCCUGAUGGAUUCUUCUUUUGUUAUUAUUAUUAUUAGGGCCCGAGCGUAGCUGCUAAGCAGCUGCGAGAGCCCUCUUGUUCCUGAUGGAUUCUUCUUUUGUUAUUAUUAUUAUUACUUUUCCUCCGCUUUAAACUGGAAAAUGGCCCACUUCCCACUGGCGAAAACUCAGGAAAUUUGGCAGGACGACCGGGCCUGGUGAAAAAUUCGAUAUUCUGAAGUCGCCCAAACAAUAAAAUACAAAAUGGCUCCAUAGCGCCCCCUAAGGUGAAAAUUCACACUAUUGACUGUCACGCCUGUACGCUUUGUCAUAUUGACACAAAAAUUGACACACACAUGUAUCUCAAUAAGAUCUACAAAAAAGUCAGUGCGGGCGUAUCUGUCAAAUGUACGGUUAAAGGGUUAUUUCGCAUUUUUUGCAGAUCCGCACACAUUGGAAUUUCGCUAACUCCUCCGAAGGCUUUCGGUCCACCGGCACCACAUUUGCUCAGGCCAAUCUACACUCCAUGGCCAUUCAAAGUUGUACAAAUCAUGAUGCUGCACCCCAUGGUUUAGGUUCUAGGGGGCGCCAAAAAUAACCCUAAAAUCCACAUUCUUAAAAGUUUUAUAACUUUUUAUUUUUGCCCUCACUGGCCUCCAAGUUUUCUAGGAUGAUGCAAUGUCCAGCCAUCAACACAUUUGUGAAGGAAUUUUUACUCCCCAAAAGAGCGCCCCCCCCCCCAUGGCAGGACAAAAAAGUCAAUUUUUUCUUGUCCCCUAAGGUGAAAAUACACAUUGUUGAAUGCCACGCCUGUACGCUUUGUCAUAUUGACACAAAAUUUGACAAUCACGUGUAUCUCAAUAAGAUCUACAAAAAAGUCAACGCGCGCGUAUCUGUAAAAUGUACGGUUAAAGGGCUAUUUCGCAUUUUUUGCCGAUUCGCACACAUUGGAAUGUGGCUAACUCCUCCUAAGGUUUUCGUCCCACUGACACCAAAUUUGCUCAGGCCAAUCUACACCCCAUGGCCAUUCAAAGUUGUAAAAAUCAUGACGCUGCACCCCAUGGUCUACGUUCUAGGGGGCGCCAAAGAGGACCCAAAUAUCCACAUUUUUAAAGUCUUAUAACUUUUUAUUUUUGUCCUCACUGGCCUCCAAGUUUUCUAGGAUGAUGCAAUGUCCAGCCAUCAACACAUUUGUGAAGGAAUUUUUUCUCCCCAAAAGAGCGCCCCCCCAUGGCAGGAGAAAAAGUCAAGUUUUUCCUGCCCAUCGCUCAAUGGCUCAAACGCAUCGCUCUCUCGGCAAAACCGAAAGGAGGAGCAACUUGCCAUUUGGAUAUAUACUAGCUGUGUUUGUGCCCUCACUCAUGGUCCAGACUUUUUUCAAAAAGGACAUGGAGUUUGUCUGCAGCGAGCGUUUUGGUAGAAACUGCGCCUCCCAUUCAUUAUAAUGGUAAAUGACCACAGACAAGUGCGCACACCAUCUUUGGACCUUGAGUGUGACGCGAUCGGGAGGGGUAGGCGGUCGCGCUGGGGGCGGCGUGACACGGCUCGGGCCCGCCAGUGCCCCACCGGGGCCCUAGUUAUUAUUUUUCCUCCGCUUUAAACUGGAAAAUGGCCCACUUCCCACUGGCGAAAACUCAUGAAAUUUGGCAGGACGACCGGGCCUGGUGAAAAAUUCGAUAUUCUGAAGUCGCCCAAACAAGAAAAUGCAAAAUGGCUUAAUAGCGCCCCCAAAGGUGAAAAUUCACACUAUUGACUGUCACGCCUGUACGCUUUGUCAUAUUGACACAAAAAUUGACACACACAUGUAUCUCAAUAAGAUCUACAAAAAAGUCAGUGCGGGCGUAUCUGUCAAAUGUACGGUUAAAGGGUUAUUUCGCAUUUUUUGCCGUUCCGCACACAUUGGAAUUUCGCUAACUCCUCCGAAGGCUUUCGUUCCACCAGCACUACAUUUGCUCAGGCCAAUCUACACCCCAUGGCCAUUGAAAGUUGUACAAAUCAUGACGCUGCACCCCACGGUUUACGUUCUAGGGGGCGCCAAAGAUAACCCACAAAUCCACAUUCUUAAAAAUCUUAUAACUUUUUAUUUUUGUCCUCAUUGGCCUCCAAGUUUUCUAGGAUGAUGCAAUGUCCAGCCAUCAACACAUUUGUGAAGGAAUUUUUACUCCCCAAAACAGCGCCCCCCCCCAUGGCAGGACAAAAAAGGCCAUUUUUUCUUGUCCCCUAAGGUGAAAAUACACAUUGUUCAAUGUCACGCCUAUACGCUUUGUCAUAUUGACACAAAAUUUGACACACACGUGUAUCUCAAUAAGAUCUACGAAAAAGUCAAUGGGCACAUAUCUGUAAAAUGUACAAUUAAAGGGCUAUCUUGCAUUUUUUGCCGAUUCGCACACAUUGGAAUGUGGCUAACUCCUCCUAAGGCUUUCGUUCUACUGACACCAAAUUUGCUCAGGCCAAUCUACACCCCAUGGCCAUUCAAAGUUGUACAAAUCAUGACGCUGCACCCCACGGUUUAGGUUCUAGGGGGCGCCAAAGAUGACCCAAAUAUCCACAUUUCUAAAAGUCUUAUAACUUUUUAUUUUUGUCCUCACUGGCCUCCAAGUUUUCUAGGAUGAUGCAAUGUGCAGCCAUCAACACAUCUGUGAAGGAAUUUUUUCUCCCCAAAAGAGCACCCCCCCCCCCCCCCCCCAUGGCAGGAGAAAAAGUCAAGUUUUUCCAGCCCAUCGCUUAAUGGCUCAAACGCAUUUCUCUCCCGCUAAAACCAAAAGGAGGAGCAACUUACCAUUUGGAUAUGUCCUAGCUGUGUUUUUGCCCUCACUCAUGGUCCAGAGUUUUUUCAAAUAGGACAUGUAGUUUGUCUGCAGCGAGCGUUUUGGUAGAAACUGUGCCUCCCAUUCAUUAUAAUGGGAAAUGACCAAAGACAGGUGCGCACACCAUCUUUGGACCUUGACUUUGACGUCACAGUUUGAGAUACAAAUGUUAUUUGACCUCUGACCUUUGGUGGACACCCUAACCUUUCAACCCGCGAAAACGGCGUUUCAAUAGCUCUUACGGCUUUCCUACAAAUACACUUUGUUCAGCUACUCCUACUGUCCUUUAAGCUCUGCUUCUCAGAUCAUCAAAGAGUGUGCACGUGUGUAAUGAGCGCAUAUUGAAUGUUAAUUAUGUUAAAUAUGUUAAUUAUUAGAAGAAAAAACAACAACAGUCCUUUUGGACAAAAUUUCCUUUUAUUACAGAAUUAGAAUAAUGGAAGCAUAGUCCAAGGAAACCAUUCAAGUGAUGUCAUACCUCAUAAUUUAUUGAGAUGUUGGCUAGUCUGGGCAUUUCUUCAUUCAUCAGGUUUCCUGCAUGCAUACUAACAGAGCACAUCAGUAGCAGUGAGUGAUAAGUAUGAGUGUGUCAUUGUGUAAGAAAGAAAGUGGUUUACUUACACAUCCAUAGAAAAUAGGUGGUUGAGCACAGCACGCAAACAAAGCUUUGCCACAACGGUUGAACUUCCCAAGUAGCUGAUACCAAGGUCACGCAAUCAUGGUGAGCAAAGGUCAAACCAGGCCAGGCACUCACGAGGCUGGCUGUGGCAAGUGUAAGUGAAAGCAACACGCAAUGGCAGGAAGAACAGCAAACACCGAUGAAGGAAAAGGGUCUUUGCAGUGAUGGGCGUCACCAGAGAGGGCGAUGGCCAGAGGGCACGAAUGGGACGGGGAGGCGGUCGCGCUGGGGGCGGCGCGAUGCGGCUCGGGCCCGCCAGUGCCCCAACGGGGCCCUAGUUAUUUUUCUGCCCCUUUGAACUGGAAAAUGGCCCACUUCCCACUGGUGAAAACUCAUGAAAUUUGGCAGGACGACCGGGCCUGGUGAAAAAUUCGAUAUUCUGAAGUCAACCAAACAAUUAAAUGCAAAAUGGCUCCAUAGCGCCCCCUAAGGUGAAAAAUUCACAUGAUUGAGUGUCACGCCUGUACGCUUUGUCAAAAUGACACAAAAUUUGACACACACGUGUAUCUCAAUAAGAUCUACAAAAAAGUCAGUGCGGGCGUAUCUGUCAAAUGUACGGUUAAAGGGUUAUUUCGCAUUUUUUGCCGAUCCGCACACAUUGGAAUUUCGCUAACUCCUCCUAAAUCUUUUGUCCCAUCGGCUUCAAAUUUGCUCAGGUCAAUCUACACCCCAUGGCCAUUCAAAGUUGUACAAAUCAUGACGCUGCACCCCACAGUUUACGUUCUAGGGGGCGCCAAAGAGGACCCAAAUAUCCACAUUUUUAAAAGUCUUAUAACUUUUUAUUUUUGUCCUCACUGGCCUCCAAGUUUUCUAGGAUGAUGCAAUGUCCAGCCAUCAACACAUUUGUGAAGGAAUUUUUUCUCCCCAAAAGAGCGCCCCCCCAUGGCAGGAGAAAAAGUCAAGUUUUUCCUGCCCAUCGCUCAAUGGCUCAAACGCAUCGCUCUCUCUGCAAAACCGAAAGGAGGAGCAACUUGCCAUUUGGAUAUAUACUAGCUGUGUUUGUGCCCUCACUCAUGGUCCAGACUUUUUUCAAAUAGGACAUGUAGUUUGUCUGCAGCGAGCGUUUUGGUAGAAACUGCGCCUCCCAUUCAUUAUAAUGGGAAAUGACCACAGACAAGUGCGCACACCAUCUUUGGACCUUGAGUGUGACGCGAUCGGGAGGGGGAGGCGGUCGCGCUGGGGGCGGCGCGACGCGGCUCGGGCCCGACAGUGCCCCACCGGGGCCCUAGUUAGGGCCCGAGCGUAGCUGCUAAGCAGCUGCGAGAGCCCUCUUGUUCCUGAUGGAUUCUUCUUUAGGGCCCGAGCGUAGCUGCUAAGCAGCUGCGAGAGCCCUCUUGUUCCUGCAUGUUUCCUUCUUUUGUUAUUAUUAGGGCCCGAGCCAGCUGCAGAGCAGCCGGGCGUAGGCCCUAUUAUUCCCCAAGUGGUUUUUCUUUGUUUCUUUGUUUAGGGCCCGAGCGUAGCUGCUAAGCAGCUGCGAGAGCCCUAUUAUUCCCCAAGUGGUUUUUCUUUGUUUCUUUCUUUCUUUAGGGCCCGAGCGUAGCUGCUAAGCAGCUGCGAGAGCCCUAUUAUUCCCCAAGUGGUUUUUCUUUGUUUCUUUCUUUCUUCUUUUUCCUCCCCUUUGAACUGGAAAAUGGCCCACUUCCCACUGGCGAAAACUCAUGAAAUUUGGCAGGAUGAUCGGGCCUGGUGAAAAAUUUGAUAUUCCGAAGUCGCCCAAACAAGAAAAUGCAAAAUGGCUCCAUAGCGCCCCCUAAGGUGAAAAUUCACACUAUUGACUGUCACGCCUUUACGCUUUGUCAUAUUGACACAAAAAUUGACACACACAUGUAUCUCAAUAAGAUCUACAAAAAAGUCAGUGCGGGCGUAUCUGUCAAAUGUACGGUUAAAGGGUUAUUCCGCAUUUUUUUCCGAUCCACACACAUUGGAAUUUCGCUAACUCCUCCGAAGGCUUUCGUUCCACCGGCACCACAUUUGCUCAGGCCAAUCUACACCCCAUGGCCAUUAAAAGUUAUUCAAAUCAUGACGCUGCACCCCACGGUUUAGGUUCUAGGGGGCGCCAAAGAUAACCCUAAAAUCCACAUAUUUAAAAGUCUUAUAACUUUUUAUUUUUGACCUCACUGGCCUCCAAGUUUUCUAGGAUGAUGCAAUGUCCAGCCAUCAACACAUUUGUGAAGGAAUUUUUAAUCCCCAAAAGAGCGCCCCCCCAUGGCAGGAGAAAAAAGUCCAUUUUUUCUUGUCCCCUAAGGUGAAAAUACACAUUGUUGAGUGUCACGCCUGUAUGCUUUGGCAAAAUGACACAAAAAUUGACACACACAUGUAUCUCAAUAAGAUCUACGAAAAAGUCAAUGCGCGCAUAUCUGUCAAAUGUACGGUUAAAGGGUUAUUCCGCAUUUUUUGCUGAUCCGCACACAUUGGAAUUUCGCUAACUCCUCCGAAGGCUGGCGUUCCACCGGCACCACAUUUGCUCAGGCCAAUCUACACCCCAUGGCCAUUCAAAGUUAUUCAAAUCAUGACGCUGCACCCCACGGUUUAGGUUCUAGGGGGCGCCAAAGAUAACCCUAAAAUCCACAUAUUUCAAAGUCUUAUAACUUUUUAUUUUUGUCCUCACUGGCCUCCAAGUUUUCUAGGAUGAUGCAAUGUCCAGCCAUCAACACAUUUGUGAAGGAAUUUUUACUCCCCAAAAGAGCGCCCCCCCAUGGCAGGAGAAAAAAGUCCAUUUUUUCUUGUCCCCUAAGGUGAAAAUACACAUUGUUGAGUGUCACGCCUAUACGCUUUGUCAAAAUGACACAAAAAUUGACACACACAUGUAACUCAAUAAGAUCUACGAAAAAGUCAAUGCGCGCGUAUCUGUCAAAUGUACGGUUAAAGGGUUAUUCCGCAUUUUUUGCCGAUCCGCACACAUUGGAAUGUGGCUAACUCCUCCGAAGGCUUUCGUUCCACCGGCACCACAUUUGCUCAGGCCAAUCUACACCCCAUGGCCAUUAAAAGUUAUUCAAAUCAUGACGCUGCACCCCACGGUUUAGGUUCUAGGGGGCGCCAAAGAUAACCCUAAAAUCCACAUAUUUAAAAGUCUUAUAACUUUUUAUUUUUGUCCUCACUGGCCUCCAAGUUUUCUAGGAUGAUGCAAUGUCCAGCCAUCAACACAUUUGUGAAGGAAUUUUUACUCCCCAAAAGAGCGCCCCCCCAUGGCAGGAGAAAAAAGUCCAUUUUUUCUUGUCCCCUAAGGUCAAAAUUCACAUUGUUGAGUGUGACACCUGUACGCUUUGUCAUAUUGACACAAAAUUUGACAAUCACGUGCCUUGCCUGGUAUCAUUUUUUUCAAAUUCACACACAAAACAUAAAAUCCGAGUGGAAAAAAGUAACAUUUUUACUGUGAAAACCACAAAUAUGUGUGAUGAACUGUUUUUAAAACUUAAACUUCAAAUAAAAAUUGUAAACUUCAAAACAUAUGCAAAUUUUUAACAAAGAACAUAGUGAUUUACCUCUAUUUACAUCAAAAUGCAGGCAAUGGCCCAGGCGUUCUUUGUAAAAUUAUUUACAAAACACUGUAUAGUCUCACAAAUGUCACUUUUUAUUUAUGCCACUACAAAAAAACAUGAUGUAAAUGAUGCAUGAUGUAAAACAUGAUGUAAAAAACUUGCGUAGAUCCUCCUCUAUGUCAGUCCAUGUGUAAUUUUUCCAUAAUUCUUUGUUUUUUGCAGCAUUUUUGUUAGUGUAACUGCAGAUUGUGCUGACAGUGUCUAUGGCAAAAAAAAAAAAAAACUGAAAAUGCCUCAACAUGAACUCCUGGUGGUCUCUGAGGGUGAAACCUGCUAACUGCUGCAGCUCUCUCAGCUCUAGUCUCCCAUGCAGAGCUCGGAGCGCAUGUGUGGCUCUGCACCCUUAGCAGCGUUGCUAACUCCUCAGUAAGGAAAGCCUGCUUCAUGUCAGAGUCUCUAAACUCCAGAGGAAGUCGAUAAAAUUCCCUUUCUUUCUAAAAAAAAGUCGUUAGGGGGUCUGAAAAGUCAUUGAAUCUAACAACAAAGUCGCUAGGUUUGCAACUACGUUUCCCAGACUGCAUCCCUGCUGAGAGUUCCUCCCUCCCUUCUCAUAUUGCAGGAAGAACGUAAGCGCCCGCCCCUUGUCAAUCAGUCACCAUAUAAUUUUGGAUUGGUUGUUGUGGUGAAGUUUUCCACCAAUAGGAGAGAUGUUGUGGUGUGUUUUUUUUUUCUUUUGGCAUGCCUUUUCCGCCUGUAAGAGCUGUCGCUAAUGUCUGCAUGCUAUGUUUUCCUGUC